GUAAGGUGGGUUAGAGUCAGGGUCAGUUACAAUGUAUUGUGGGUUAGAGUCAGACAGUAUGGUGGGUUAGAGUCGGGGUCAGUAAGACAGUAAGGUGGGUUAGAGUCGGGAUCAGUAAGACAGUAAGGUGGGUUAGAGUCAGGGUCAGUUACAAUGUAUUGUGGGUUAGAGUCAGACAGUAUGGUGGGUUAGAGUCGGGAUCAGUAAGACAGUAAGGUGGGUUAGAGUCGGGAUCAGUAAGACAGUAAGGUGGGUUAGAGUCGGGAUCAGUAAGACAGUAUGGUGGGUUAGAGUCGGGAUCAGUAAGACAGUAUGGUGGGUUAGAGUCAGACAGUAUGGUGGGUUAGAGUCGGGAUCAGUAAGACAGUAAGGUGGGUUAGAGUCGGGAUCAGUAAGACAGUACGGUGGGUUAGAGUCGGGAUCAGUAAGACAGUAAGGUGGGUUAGAGUCAGGAUCAGUAAGACAGUAUGGUGGGUUAGAGUCGGGAUCAGUAAGACAGUAUGGUGGGUUAGAGUCGGACAGUAUGGUGGGUUAGAGUCAGGAUCAGUAAGACAGUAAGG